UGUGGGUCUGGGAGAGUCAGGGAGGAGUCUGGUGAGGUCUGGGCCCUGCUGGGAACUGGGGACAACCGCCCGCCUGAAGUGUGAGGACCAGGAGAGGGGCCUGGGCUGCUUGCUGAAGCUGGUGCAGUGGCAGCGGGCCCCACACUGCCAUGCGGCCUCGGUCUCACAGGGUGCUCUUCUUGGGACCCCCUCAGGCAACAAAACAGACAUAGGGAGCAAGGAUGUCAUUCCUGUCUCUGUACCUUUGCUGUGAGCAGCGAGCAAAUGGACUUGGUGAAUGAAGUUCUCUUUCACCUUGUAAGGAAGGCAUUGCAGAGUUUCAAGUCGUUUUAUUAGUUUCAGAAACACAUUCUUGAAAAGCACUUUUUAACCAAAGGAAGUUUAAGCGUGCCCCGUUUUGCUGGAGAAAUGCGUAGCUACUUGAGCCACGGGGGGACAUUCCUCUGCUUUUGGAGCCAUACAAUCUAAUCUGUAGACGCAUGCCAUGUUUUUGUGUCUGGGGAGCUGAUUCAGGCUUCCAAAGUCCUGAGUACUCGUGAAAUGAAUGAGUCUCUUCCUCUUUUCUCAAGGAACAACCUCUCUCGCUUGCUUUUUUCCCUGCAGUUUUGAAAUGUGAGUCCUAGCUCCAAGUCCAUGCUGUUUUCACACUCAGCUGGGUUUCUAACUCCUGAAAUAUUAAUCUAUGGGGGUUGCUGGCAAACCAAUAAUUGGCACCAAUUAACAAGCUCCUCAUUGGCCAAACGAUACUUGAAGAGGGAAGUUGACCGUUCGGGUCUUCUUGGCUCCUGCGGCUGGGCCCGGUGGCCUCUUCCUGGCCUCUUGUCCUGCUUCAGAUGCACAGAGCUGCUGAUCUCAGCUGGGAACACUGGCCCGGAGUGCAUCUGCUUAGAUCUUUAAGAAGAAGUAAUCCGUGGAAAGCGGUGCCAUCAACGGAUACGCGUCCUCCCGCCUUCCCUGCCCAGUCCUGCCUGACCGGCCUCCUCCCCACGUGCUGUUCUCCGCGUUGCCCAUUCUGCUUUUUGCUGGAACACAUUCCUCAGCUCCAUGCUUCUGAUAGACGGGCUACUAAAAUCCAACCCAACGACGUGGAGGACGGCCGAGUGCAUAACAAGCAGCAAGGUGAAAAAAUAACCAGCAGGACCCGCAGAGGGUCGGGGCUCCGCUGGGAGCUGUGCCUCAAUGGCGCUUGUUGCCAGUGACUGCAGCUCUGCACUGGCUCAUGGCUGUCCCUGAGAGCUCGAACCUCUAAACCAGUGUUUGCCUCUUGAGUCUUGUUGCAAAUGGCCGCGUUUGAACUAGAGUAUAAAGCACUGUGUUUAUUUAACCCUGCAAACGGCGCUCCUUUGUCUUUGUGACCAGGCUGGGCAGCUAAAGACCCACAUUCCUUCCACAGUUAAUAAAACUUCCUAUUUUUCUCCGUGCUUAUAAAUUUAAUUACACUCAGACGCAUUUAGUCGACAUCAGUUUUUCAAACUACCUAAAUAAACAGCCCCUCUCAAUGGGCAGCCUAAUCAUCUUCGGAUUAAGAGACACAAAUGAAAACCCAUUUUGUUGGUUUUGUCUUCAUCAUCUUAAGUCUUGUCCAUUUUCAGACCUGGAGCUGGCAGAGAUGGGAACCGAGUGGGCUGUACUUCCUCCCAAGAGAAAACACUUAUGCUUUAAAGGACUCCGUUAUUAAAUUUCAAACUUAUUAAAACAAAACAAAAAGCACCACAGAACAAGAGCCAAGCCAGCUCUAGCUGACUUUAUGGAAGACGCGAACAUUCUCUCAGACACGGAGACAUACUUGGGUUUGUGCAUGAUCAGGAGCAGGAGCAUGAGCCGUCGGGGGAAUGCCCCGGCCGAGGCGUGUCUCCCAAACACACAGCUCCUUCCGAGAGAAGUCAAUGCAAGCGGGCAUCCAGGAGCUCCCUGAAUCUCUGGGCCGCCGCCUUGCAGACCUGAGUUUCACCCUUUAGCUAAUGGCUGAAGUGUUGUCCAUUUUGGCUUUCUCUUCAAUCUUCUCAGUACAACAUCUCCUCACAUGGUGCUUAACGCGGUGCUUUUGCGAUUAAGAACAGCGUGGCGCUUUCGUAGUUGAAAGCAUUCUUCUCCGUUAUCAGAGUCUGCUUUCUCCUUCCCCGCAGGCUGCCUUUAGGGAGCCCUUAUGUUUGCCUCUCUGGACAGGCUCAUUGCUAACAGCCACCUCCUCUGUUCCUGUUUGCUGCCUUUUGGGUUUUUCCUAAUUUGAUUGUAGCAUUCUGCUUUGAUGUUUGGCCCAAGGAAGAUUUUACAAAAUGCCUGUCUUUGUGGCUUUCUCACUGGAGAGUCGGCAGCUGGUGUGGAAUUAUGCGGUGAACAGAAGAGCACACCUUUCACGUUUUCUCUCCUGGAGAAUGGAGCUACACGGGAAAACAUACAGCAAGGUGAUACUGCCUCUCUUGCUCGGGGCUGUGUGACUGAGUUCUGGCUAAUGGGACAUAGGUGGAAGGAGGCAUGCCAUGUUUGAGUCCAGUCCAUAAAUGCCCCCACCUCUUCAUUCCCCGUCUGCGGGCCCAGUGGAGAGGAGCUGGAGGAGGCCAAGUCACUGGAGGGAAGAUGCGAGGUCCCUGAGUGACCACGUGGAUGACUGCGACUCAGCAGGGAUGCCUACAGAGGGCUUUGUGCAAGUGAGAAGCGGGUCCUGACGGUGCCAGGUGAGAAGCGGGUCCUGACCCUGUCAGGUGAAAAGCGGGUCCUGACGGUGCCAGGUGAGAAGCGGGUCCUGACGGUGCCAG